rnacentral:tRNA from 1 species
GAGGGUAUAGCUCAGUGGUAGAGUUCCUGCUUAUAAUACAUGAAGUCCUGGGUUCAAUCCCCACUGCCUCCA